rnacentral:tRNA from 1 species
GGCUUCAUAGCUCAGUUGGUAAGAGCGUCACAUUGUAUCGUGAAGUCACGGGUUCAAACCCCGUUGAAGUAU